rnacentral:tRNA from 1 species
GCGCCCUUAGCUCAGUUGGUUAGAGUGCCUGCUUGACACGCAGGAGGUCAGUGGUUCGAGUCCACUAGGGCGCACCA